GGAGGGAUCGCAUAGUGGCUUAGUGCGGCCGCCUGCUAAGCGGUUAUCCCGAGAAAUCGGGAUCGUGGGUUCGAAUCCCACUCCCUCCGCCG
rnacentral:tRNA from 1 species